UACCAAUUGAAGGGAAAGAAAUCUGUUUCUUGUGGAUAACCAGGGUUACAUCUAAAAUUUUUUUAUAAAUCUAUAUGCAUAAGAAUCAAAUCCUUAUCUAGAUUAUAGUAGAAUUGGGGAUCAAAUCUCUAAAAUCUGAAUUGAACCUUCGCAUAGGCCUGGAACUGCAGGCCCUCUAUUUCACAUGCACGCUAGGCAAUGCAGGAAAGUGAAAUGAAUCUUCUGAUCAAAGUACCUUCGCAAGGCCACCAAAGGAAAGAGAAGAGGUGCUGGUGUGAUGCCUCACACCAGCAAAGGGGGAUGCCCAAGGAUAGCCUAUGCUAAGAAGAAAAGGGC
rnacentral:lncRNA from 1 species